UACGUAGGGUGCAAGCGUUGUCCGGAAUUAUUGGGCGUAAAGAGCUUGUAGGCGGUUUGUCGCGUCUGCUGUGAAAUUUCGGGGCUCAACCCCGAACUUGCAGUGGGGUACGGGCAGACUAGAGUGUGGUAGGGGGAGACUGGAAUUCCUGGUGUAGCGGUGAAAUGCGCAGAUAUCAGGAGGAACACCGAUGGCGAAGGCAGGUCUCCUGGGCCAACUACUGACGC
rnacentral:rRNA from 1 species